UCCUCGUUUAAGCGAGGCAGUCCGUCCAGAGUGCUCCACACUCUCGUGUGGGUGGCAACAGGACGCAAGGGUUGCGCUCGUUGCGGGACUUAACCCAACAUCUCACGACACGAGCUGACGACAGCCAUGCAGCACCUGUGUAGGCUGGUAUUGCUACCUCGUUAGGCUUUCACCCUUCUACUACCUACAUGUCAAGGCCAGGUAAGGUUCUUCGCGUUGCAUCGAAUUAAGCCACAUACUCCACCGCUUGUGCAGGCCCCCGUCAAUUUCUUUGAGUUUUAAUCUUGCGACCGUACUCCCCAGGCGGCACGUUUAACGCGUUAGCUUCGCCACAAAAGGGGUCGAUUCCUCUUACAGCAAACGUGCACCGUUUACGGCUAGGACUAC
rnacentral:misc_RNA from 1 species